AACGAACGCUGGCGGCAGGCUUAACACAUGCAAGUCGAGCGCCCCGCAAGGGGAGCGGCAGACGGGUGAGUAACGCGUGGGAACGUACCUUUUGGUUCGGAACAACUCCGGGAUACUGGAGCUAAUACCGGAUAAGCCCUAACGGGGAAAGAUUUAUCGCCGAAAGAUCGGCCCGCGUCGGAUUAGCUCGUUGGUGAGGUAACGGCUCACCAAGGCGACGAUCAGUAGCUGGUCUGAGAGGAUGAUCAGCCACACUGGGACUGAGACACGGCCCAGACUCCUACGGGAGGCAGCAGUGGGGGAUAUUGGACAAUGGGCGCAAGCCUGAUCCAGCCAUGCCGCGUGAGUGAUGAAGGCCGUAGGGUUGUAAAGCUCUUUUGUCCGGGAAGAUAAUGACGGUACCGGAAGAAUAAGCCCCGGCUAACUUCGUG
rnacentral:rRNA from 1 species